rnacentral:ncRNA from 1 species
UAUCUGGUUGAUCCUGCCAGUAGUCAUAUGCUUGUCUCAAAGAUUAAGCCAUGCAUGUCUAAGUACAAACCUUAAUACGGUGAAACCGCGAAUGGCUCAUUAAAUCAGCUAUGGUUCCUUAGAUCGUCUCAUCCUACUCGGAUAACUGUGGAAAAUCUAGAGCUAAUACGUGCUUACAAGCCCUGACCUCACGGGAGGGGCGCAUUUAUUAGAUCAAAACCAAUCGGGGCUUGCCCCGUCUGCUUGGUGACUCUGGAUAACUUUUGUGCUGAUCGCAUGGCCUCUGCGCUGGCGACGUAUCUUUCAAGUGUCUGCCCUAUCAACUUACGAUGGUAGGUGAUAUGCCUACCAUGGUUAUAACGGGUAACGGGGAAUCAGGGUUCGAUUCCGGAGAGGGAGCCUGAGAAACGGCUACCACAUCUAAGGAAGGCAGCAGGCGCGCAAAUUACCCACUCCCGGCACGGGGAGGUAGUGACGAAAAAUAACGAUACGGGACUCUUUUGAGGCCCCGUAAUUGGAAUGAGUACACUUUAAAUCCGUUAACAAGUAUCUAUUGGAGGGCAAGUCUGGUGCCAGCAGCCGCGGUAAUUCCAGCUCCAAUAGCGUAUAUUAAUGUUGCUGCAGUUAAAAAGCUCGUAGUUGGAUC